rnacentral:tRNA from 1 species
GCCGGUGUAGCUCAGUGGUAGAGCAACCGCCUUGUAAGCGGUAGGUCGUCGGUUCAAUCCCGACCUCCGGCUCCA